UCUUUCAUCAGACCCCUCCUCUUAUGAGCGCCGUCCUAAAAUCCACCAUUGCCGGUGGCGGCGCCACCUUCAAUCCCUCCCAAAUUAACACCCCAAUCUCCUCUCGUCCUCCCUGUCCCAUAUCUGAUAUUGGUUUUUCUCGAAUCGAACCAAAGCCUCUCGAAUCUUGAUUUUAAAGUCAGGUCCGAGUCUGAAAUUUGUCCAAACGAGCCCAAAUUGCUACCAGGUGGCUCACCGGUCUUCCUCACCUCGAAUCCAUGGUUAUUAUGCUUCAAAUCUCAGUGGUCCACCCUCAAUUCCACAUCUAGGGUUCAUUUUUUUGGCUUGGUUGAGGUGUCUUCUUUUAUG
rnacentral:lncRNA from 1 species